rnacentral:rRNA from 1 species
AGAGUUUGAUCCUGGCUCAGAACGAACGCUGGCGGCAGGCCUAACACAUGCAAGUCGAGCGCUUCCCUUCGGGGAGGAGCGGCGGACGGGUUAGUAACGCGUGGGAAUAUACCCAAAGGUAGGGAAUAGCCUCUGGAAACGGAGAGUAAUACCCUAUGUGCCCUUCGGGGGAAAGAUUUAUCGCCUUUGGAUUAGCCCGCGUUAGAUUAGAUAGUUGGUGGGGUAAUGGCCUACCAAGUCUACGAUCUAUAGCUGGUUUUAGAGGAUGAUCGGCAACACUGGGACUGAGACACGGCCCAGACUCCUACGGGAGGCAGCAGUGGGGAAUCUUGGACAAUGGGCGCAAGCCUGAUCCAGCCAUGCCGCGUGAGUGAUGAAGGCCUUAGGGUCGUAAAGCUCUUUCGCCAGGGAUGAUAAUGACAGUACCUGGUAAAGAAACCCCGGCUAACUCCGUGCCAGCAGCCGCGGUAAUACGGAGGGGGUUAGCGUUAAUCGGAAUUACUGGGCGUAAAGCGCACGCAGGCGGCUUGUUAAGCUAGAGGUGAAAGCCCCGCGCUCAACGUGGGAACUGCCUUUAGAACUGGCAGGCUAGAGUCUUGGAGAGGGGAGUGGAAUUCCAGGUGUAGCGGUGAAAUGCGUAGAUAUCUGGAGGAACAUCAGUGGCGAAGGCGGCUCCCUGGCCAAAGACUGGCGCUCAUGUGCGAAAGUGUGGGUAGCGAACAGGAUUAGAUACCCUGGUAGUCCACACCGUAAACGCUGUCUACUAGCUGUUUGUGUAUUUAAUACGUGAGUAGCGAAGCUAACGCGCUAAGUAGACCGCCUGGGGAGUACGGCCGCAAGGUUAAAACUCAAAGGAAUUGACGG